rnacentral:rRNA from 1 species
UACGGAGGAUGCGAGCGUUAUCCGGAUUUAUUGGGUUUAAAGGGUGCGUAGGCGGCUUUUUAAGUCAGCGGUGAAAUUUUGCAGCUUAACUGUAACAGUGCCGUUGAUACUGGGGAGCUAGGAUUUGGUUGCUGUGGGUGGAAUGUGUGGUGUAGCGGUGAAAUGCUUAGAGAUUACACAGAAUAUCGAUUGCGAAGGCAGCUCACAAAGCCAAGAUUGACGCUGAGGCACGAAAGUGUGGGGAUCAAACAGGAUUAGA